rnacentral:lncRNA from 1 species
UCGGGACAAGGUUGGGAUAUGGGUGACUUGCCUUGAGAACCUACACUAUUAACAUUCCUAGGAAGACAUGCAAUGGAUGGAACAAGGACCUUCUGAAUUAUCAAAGCAUUUUAAUGCUGAAGAAAAGUUUUUUAGAAGAGGCAAAUCCUUUUGGUACCUAAUUUCCUUCUAAAAGGAUUUUGAGAGGGCUUGAACUCCCUUUUAAUAAACCUUAUUGCCUCUAGAUAGGCCUCUAGGUAGGUGUUUUAUGUAAAGGGAAAUUUUGAACACAAAGGUUGAUUGCCCUACCACAAAUCUUCCCAGAAAUGAAUUUUGGUCCCAUCAUUUACUAUAAAGCAAAUGUAUGUAGAAAAAAUGUGGAGAAUAAGUGCAAUGGCUUUUAAAGGGUAAUGGUGUGAUCAUCUGACUAUAUUAUUAGCGUCCCAUUGAUUAGGACAUGUCCUAUGAUAUUUAAGAUAACU